AACGAACGCUGGCGGCAUGCCUAACACAUGCAAGUCGAACGAGGCCUUCGGGUCUAGUGGCGCACGGGUGCGUAACGCGUGGGAACCUGCCCUUAGGUUCGGAAUAACUCCCCGAAAGGGGUGCUAAUACCGGAUAAUGUCUUCGGACCAAAGAUUUAUCGCCUUUGGAUGGGCCCGCGUUGGAUUAGCUAGUUGGUAGGGUAAAAGCCUACCAAGGCGACGAUCCAUAGCUGGUCUGAGAGGAUGAUCAGCGACACUGGGACUGAGACACGGCCCAGACUCCUACGGGAGGCAGCAGUGGGGAAUAUUGGACAAUGGGCGAAAGCCUGAUCCAGCAAUGCCGCGUGAGUGAUGAAGGCCUUAGGGUUGUAAAGCUCUUUUACCCGGGAUGAUAAUGACAGUACCGGGAGAAUAAGCUCCGGCUAACUCCGUG
rnacentral:rRNA from 1 species